rnacentral:sRNA from 1 species
UCCGUAGGUGAACCUGCGGAAGGAUCAUUAAUAGUGCCCUCUGAUGCAAAUCAUUGGGUUAGAUCUGCUCUCUUCGCAAGAAGAGGGUUUCCAUACACACCGUGAACUGUGGCUUCGGCCAUCACAAACUGUUAGUAAUGAAUGUAAUAUCAUAACAAAAACAAAACUUUUAACAACGGAUCUCUUGGCUCUCGCAUCGAUGAAGAACGCAGCGAAAUGCGAUAAGUAAUGUGAAUUGCAGAAUUCAGUGAAUCAUCGAAUCUUUGAACGCACCUUGCGCCCUUUGGUAUUCCGAAGGGCAUGCCUGUUUGAGUGUCAUGAAACCUCACCCCACUUGGGUUUUUGCCUGAGCGGUGGUGUAUUGGGUGUUGCCUUGCUAAAGGCUCGCCUUAAAGACAUAAGCACCUUGGAUGUAAUACGUUUCAUCCUUCUGGGUGGUUGAUAACCCCACAUAUUCAUGAUCUGGCCUCAAAUCAGGUAGGGCUACCCGCUGAACUUAAGCAUAUCAAUAAGCGGAGGAAAAGAAACUAACUAGGAUUCCCUUAGUAACGGCGAGUGAACCGGGAUGAGCUCAAAUUUAAAAUCUGGCGUCUUUCAGGCGUCCGAGUUGUAAUCUAUAGAGGCGUUUUCCGCGCCGGACCGCGUCCAAGUCUCUUGGAAUAGAGUAUCAAAGAGGGUGACAAUCCCGUACUUGACGCGACAACCGGUGCUCUGUGAUACGUUCUCAAUGAGUCGAGUUGUUUGGGAAUGCAGCUCUAAAUGGGUGGUAAAUUCCAUCUAAGGCUAAAUAUUGGCGAGAGACCGAUAGCGAACAAGUACCGUGAGGGAAAGAUGAAAAGCACUUUGGAAAGAGAGUUAAACAGCACGUGAAAUUGUUAAAAGGGAAACGCUUGAAGU